rnacentral:rRNA from 1 species
AUUGGACGCUGGCGGCAUGCUUAACACAUGCAAGUCGAACGGAAACAGGACGCUAGGAUUCCUUCGGGAUGACUUUGUCGCUGUCGAGUGGCGGACGGGUGAGUAAUGCGUAGAAAUUUGCCUUGAAGUGGGGGAUAGCCCGGAGAAAUCCGGAUUAAUACCGCAUGCGCUCUAAGGAGCAAAGCGGGCCUCUUCUUGAAAGCUCGCGCUUUGAGAUAAGUCUACGUCGGAUCAGCUUGUUGGUAGGGUAAAGGCCUACCAAGGCGACGAUCCGUAGCUGGUUUGAGAGGAUGAUCAGCCACACUGGGACUGAGACACGGCCCAG